AUUAUAUUAAAAAAAGAAACGCAAUGCAUAUUAAUUUAUAUUAUUAUAAGUAUAUUUAAACACUUUGAUAUAAAAAGAGUAAAUUAAAAUAAAAUUCAAAGCUUUUAUAACCAUGAUUUUAAUUUACAAGUUAAAACUAUAAGAAGUUUUAAUAAAAGGGUUUGUGCUAAGAAAUUAUAAUAAAAUAUAAUAUAAACCGAAUAUUAAUAUUUUGAAAAACUGUUUAUAAUUUAUUAGAGAAUUAUAUAUUAUAUCUAGGAUUUUAAUUAAUAAACCGGUAAGUUAUAUUGGAAAAUUACGGGGCGGUUUGGUGUUUCGUAUUAAGUAUAAAACGCCAAAAACAAAUUUAAAAACAAACCGUUCCCUUUUAUUAUUAAUUGAUAAAAGGUUUAAUAAUUAAUCAAAUUAUUAAUAAAUAAUUAAAUGCAAUACAAAUUCCAUUUUCUGAAAUAUUAUAUUAAAAAGUUUUUUGUAUAUAUAAUAAUUUUUAAACCCAAAUAUAAAUUAUUUGAAAGUGGAAUUAUUUUUCAUUAGGUGUUUGGAAUACUUAAUAAUUUUCGAAAAAUAUUUCAAUUAUAUAUUAAAAUAUUAAAUAUAUUUUAUAAAUAAUAUAUAUAGACCACGUAUUUGUAUUUGAUAAUAUAUUUUGUAAUUUUCGCGUUGGAAAAAGUAAGAGAUAAUAUGGAAAUUACAGGCAUAUAGAUUAUUUUCCAGUUUGAUAAUAAUAGAUUUUUGUAUAAAUAAAUUCAAAUUUGAAUAUUUAAACUUUAUUCCAAAACAGCCUCAUUUAAAAUAUAACCGGAUCCCUAAAAGAUUAUUAUUAUUAAAAAUCAAAAACCAUAAAUUUAAUAAAAAAGCGUGAGAAUUAUAUCAGUUUUGCAAGUCUUGGUAUAUAUUGAUUGUAAAUAUUGUAUAUAAUAAUAAUUUAAUUGCAUUAAUAAAAAGAUAUAUGCGUUUGCCUAAAGAGCGUCAAAUAAAAAAUGUGUUUGAUUUGUUAAAAAAUAUUAAUUUAUAUUUAUUUAUAAUGCGAAUCUAAUAUAAAUAAAUUAAGUUAUUUGAAAAUAAUAUAUAAUAAAUUUGCAUACAAAUUGAUAUUAUUGCAGGACAGUACGUUAUAAAAAAUAUAAUACUUUAGUUUUUAAAACCAUUAAUAAACUCAGAACGCAAUAUUAUUAAUAAUAGUAAACUUUGAAGAGUUAUUAUUUUGCCAAAUCGAAAUAAAAUUAUAAUAAAAUAAAAAAGCUAGAUUUAAAAUAUUUACAAAUUAGUGGGUUUAAAUUAUUUCGGAAAUAAAAUAUUAUCUACGGAAAAAUAAAUAGAAUAAAACAAAACUUCAUAUUAAUAUACUUUUAGGUUAUCUUAUAAAUAUUUGCUGCGAGAAACAAUUUUACCGGACAUUUUAAACCGCUGUAAAUAAAAUGAUCCGGGGGUUUGAAAUUGUUAAAAAUAUUAUAAAUAAUAAAUUCCACAAUUAAUAUUGUUAGCGUUUGAAUGCGUUAUGGACGAAAAAAUAUAAAUACAAGAAGGAUUUAAUAUGUGAAAAAUCGAAUGAUAAUAAAUAUAAUUAUAAUUUGGAAAACAAAAUCCGAUUUAUUAAUAAAUAUACAUAUAAUGAAAAUAUAAGUUCUAUAUUUUAAACAAAUUUAAGAUUAGGUAUUAAUUA
rnacentral:sRNA from 1 species